rnacentral:rRNA from 1 species
GAUACCCCAUUAUGCUUAGCCCUAAACAUAAAUAAUCCAAUAACAAGAAUAUUCGCCAGAGAACUACUAGCUACUGCUUAAAACUCAAAGGACUUGGCGGUGCUUUAUAUCCCUCUAGAGGAGCCUGUUCUAUAAUCGAUAAACCCCGUUAAACCUCACCACUCUUUGCAUUGUCAGCCUAUAUACCGCCAUCUUCAGCAAACCCUAACAAGGCACUAUAGUAAGCACAAUUAUUAUACAUAAAAACGUUAGGUCAAGGUGUAGCCUAUAGAGUGGAAAGAAAUGGGCUACAUUUUCUAAUUCUCCUAGAACACCUCACGGUAGCUAUCAUGAAACAUGCUAGCCCAAGGCGGAUUUAGUAGUAAGUUAGGAAUAUAGUGCCUAGCUGAAUCGGGAAAGAAAGCACGCAC